CGGUAGCUGAGUUGGUAAAGCGCUCAUCUAACGUACGAGAGUCCUGAGCUUGAAUCCCAGCCG
rnacentral:tRNA from 1 species